rnacentral:rRNA from 1 species
GACGUAGGGCGCGAGCGUUGUCCGGAUUUAUUGGGCGCAAAGAGCUCGUAGGCGGCUUGUCGCGUCAACUGUGAAAACCCGUGGCUCAACCAUGUGGUCUGCAGUCGAUACGGGCAGGCUAGAAUUCGGUAGGGGAGACUGGAAUUCCUGGUGGUAGCGGUGAAAUGCGUAGAGAUCGGGAGGAACACCCGUGGCGAAGGCGGCCAACUGGGCCGGACCUGACGGCUGAAGGCGCGAAGGCGUGGGGAGCGAACGGGAUUGAGAUA